rnacentral:rRNA from 1 species
GACGCACGCUGGCGGCGUGCUUAACACAUGCAAGUCGAACGAAGUGGCGAACGGGUGAGUAAUACGUGGGUAACCUGCACUCCUUUUUGGGAUAAGCCUUGGAAACGGGGUCUAAUACCGAAUAAAGGGGGAUGGGCUCGCGGCCUAUCAGCUUGUUGGUGGGUCGAUGGCCUAACAAGGCGGUGACGGGUAGCCGGCGUGAGAGGGUGAACUGGCCCGUUGGGACUGAGAUACACGCCGAAGUCGUACAUAUAUCAACAAUUGGGUAGAUUUCACAAUGGGCGAAAGCCUGAUGCAGCGCAGCCGCGUGAGUGAUGAAGGCUUUCAGGUUGUAAGCCUCUUUCGCUAUCGAACGGGUAGGUGGAGAAGAAGCGCCGGCUAACUACGUGCCAGCAGCCGCGGUAAUAC